UGCUCCAAAUCUGGCAGUGUGAUACAGUGAGGGAGCCUGGUGUAAAUCCUGGUCCUGCCACUUGAUGAGCGUAUCACGGACGAGGUCAAUGUAGUGGUAUGAUUUGGAAUGUAUACUCUGAUCUUAAGUGGAUCAGGUGUGUGAACUUGGCCUUUAUUGGCUGGCAACAUUCAUCUUUGGGGAAGAGACCAUGGGAAAAGAAGAGAAUCAAGAGAAUCGGGUCAUGCUUGAAUCUCACUGAGAAAGCAAAAUAGACAUCAGGAACCUGCAAGGAUGAUGUCAGCGAAGACUCCUAGCAACGUGGGACAAGGAACCGGACAACACUUCCAGUGGAGGGCUGGGGCACCAACUCAGCCACAAAACUUUCGACCCACACAUUGUCCUGCCUACAAAUGUACAGAGGCAUUUGGAAUUGGAAAGAAAGAGCUGUAACAGUGUCUCUGCUUUCCAGUUACAAGAAGGACAUUAAGAGAUAACGGAUCAACUGUGGAAGGAUGCUGGUGUUCUAAAUGUCAGCAGAGCCACGGCAGCACAGAAACCUAAAGGCAACACAUUCCAGAGAAGGCACCACCUUUCAAAAGGAGGCCAAGGCAGGAAAAUCCCGUGAGCAUCUUGGAUAGCAUCUGAUAUUCUAAGGGGGUGGGGAGGAGAUAAGAAGGUUCAUUAUUCUAACACCAUUGAGAUCACCGUGUCAUUGAUCUAAAGGAUGCAAUAUUUUCAUGUAUCAAGUACUACACUCCUCUGAGGCAUUGGCUGCUUCAAUUAGCAGAGGCGGAAGUAGCUACUGUUGGUUACUUAAAUUCAUCUGAGUAAGCGAGGAAGAAGGAGGACUUGAACAUGAACUGGGUCACAUUAAAGGUCAACAGAACAACAAACUAAACCAGAAAGUGCAGAAGUUAGGACUAAACGGAGACUACACAGGGUCAGAAUUUUCUGCACCAGCACGAGGAUAUAGGGGAAAUAGCAACAGCUGAGUAAUGUACACUUGAAUUCGCUGUUACAUUUGGUCCUGCAGCUACCACGGAAGUCAACAUGGUUAGUCGAUACCCACGGAUCAGCUGUUAAGAACCUUCCUGAAGGCUGUGUCUCAAGUUUUCCCUAAUUUCAUCCUUACUCUUAUGAAAUAAAUGGACUCAUCUCA